GCUUCCGGCCCUGGGCGUCCUCCCGGGCCCGGCGCGGUGGGAAGAAGGCCGGAAGCGGCCUUCGCGGCCUCGAGAGCCGCGGGGACGGAAGCCGCAGGGCGAGGCGGGGGAGGUGUGCCCGGCGGCCCCGCGGCCGCGCGCCCGGAGAGCCGCUAGCACGUGUCCCGUGGGAGAGGGGCCGCGGCGAGGGCCCGCCGGCCCCCUAAGCAGAGUGACGCCCCGGGACUGGGUGACGUGCAGCCGUUUGAACUCCCCACAAAGUCCCACAGGUAACCUCGCUCCAUUCUGCACAAAGUACAAGCCAUGAAGCUUGAAGCUCGGUGUGUCCUUCCUUGCCACUGAGAGACCAUGCAAAAUGAGUCAUCCCAGAACUCCUCAGAGCAUGGGGGCUAGGCCACUUACAGCUUUUGAGGAUGUGGGCAUUUUUGCUAUUGGUAUGAAGGAAAUUCUCUAUAGACACUGUGGCUUAUUCAUUAAUUUUAAAUAAAGCAUUUACAUGAUUCAGAAGUCAAAA